rnacentral:lncRNA from 1 species
GUAGCAGUGGCAAGUUCUUGAGGAGGUUCAGGCUGCCGGAGAAUGCAAAGAUGGAUCAAGUGAAGGCUUCAAUGGAAAAUGGAGUUCUUACUGUGACUGUUCCUAAGGAGGAAAUCAAGAAACCUGAUGUGAAGGCUAUUGAGAUUUCUGGCUGAGUUCUACAAAUAUGAGCAUUAAAAUGAAUGUUCUAAGAGAGAUUCAGAAGUUGUUUGAUGUAAUAAAUUAAUGAACAAAGAUGGAGUCUUGAGUUGUAAAAUCUACUUUCAAUUUUUUUAAAUUUCCAACAGCUGAAUUUCACAAAUUAAGACUAAGGUUUAUGUCAUUAUGUCAUACGUAAAAUUUCACUGGCUAAUUAAAUCAUUUUAAAAAUAAUUUUACACUGCUAUAUAUUUUAAGUAGCUAAGCAAAUAAUUUUACAUUAUAUAGUAACUUAUUUACAAAAUUUGAUUAAUAAAAUUAGUUUAAUUAAAUAUUUAUUUGAUAGUCAAAAAAAAAUAAGAAAGUUAGUAUUUUAAAUUGCUUAAUCACAUAUUUAAUGUUUUAUAGAAAUAAAAAAUAAUAAAAAUUAUCAUUAUUAAUAUGGAAAAAUGUGAAUUUAUUAUAAAAAUGAAUUUGAGAAUGUCACAAUAUUAUUUUAAUCACGAGGGUCAAAAUUAUGUAUCGACGAAUUUUUUACUUUGUAUAUAUAUGGUUGAAUUUUGUGUAAGACCAUUUCAAGUGAGCAUUAUAACCCCUUUUUUUAAUAAUAAUAAUAUUCUUACACAAGUGAAUAAAAAUUUCAAAAUGAUAAUAAAAGUUAAUUAAAGGGAUUGCAAGUAUAACAAAUUAAAUAUACAUAAUAAAAAAUUAUUAAAAAAAAUUUAAGUAUUCUGAAGGUCAGACGUCAUUUGAUAUAUAAAAUGCUAAUAAAACAUUUGUCGUGUAGAUAUUUUCAGAUUUUCAUGUCCAUAAAUCUUGAAUCCAACUCUCAAAUAUCAAAUAUUACUAAUCAUACAUUCUUUUAUCAUUUUUCUGGCGGCUGCCAUUUGAUUUUGAAAAUUAUAUUAUAAUUCAAAAAUGUAUUUCAAAAAAAAAAAUAUAUAAGACAAUAAGAAUAUUUGUAAAUUAUAUCCCGAAGAAUAAGAUGAGAUGAUAUUGAUUAAUUCUCCUUUAAUUAAAGGUUUCGAGUUUGAGCUCUGAAUAUGAAAUAUUUUUAAACACUUGGAAGGGAGUAUUUUUAAUCCCUUUGUAGGCUUUUCCGGUGCAAAUUUCAUUAAAAAACUUUAGCUUAUUUUGAGGGAUUCAAUCAAGUGACAAAGAAAUUGAUUUAUGCUAUUAGCUAUAAACACACUCUACUUAAUGGCUACUUACAGUACUGCUCGACUCUAUAGUUAUUCAACAGGUUUGAUUAUUUUCAAAUUUCUUUUAGGAGUAACUUUCAAAUUUCUUUCAUUUACUAAAAAGAGAUCCGCAUCUCUAUUUGAUUUACUUUCAAAUAACAAAAUGCUUUAAAAUGCUAAAGUUAUUUGAUUUCAAAAUUUUAUCUAUGCAUUUUUAAGAUUGUUUUUAAUAAUAAUAAUGACAUAUUAAUCUAAUUGAAUUUUCCCGAUUUUGAAUUAGUUGCACGAACAUUUAAAAGGUUUAAUAUUCUCAUAUUAUAGUUGGUUUUUUUAACGAUAUUUAUAACUUAUUAUAGAUAAUUAUUUAUUUAUUUAAAUUUUUUUAAUAAGUUACGUACUUUUUCAAGGCUGUGUGCUAAGUGUGCUGUGUCUUAUUUUUUUUUUUUUUCUCAAAAGAGUUGUAUCACAUUCCGUGGCAACCUAUUUCAUAGAUAAACGGAAGAAAAAAUUUAUCUAGACUAAAUUCAUAAUCCUAUUUAUGAAUCAAAUUAAUAAAGCUAAUGAUUUUUAUUAAAAUGGCAUAUUUCUAUCCAUAUAUUUAAAAAAAAAAUUAAACCGACCUAUUAUUUAAAAAAUCUUUAGCUCCAUUGAUUUUCAUGAAUAAGGCUGUGAACUCCGUCUGGCAGAUUUCUUCCAAUACAUAGUACUCCCGCUGGACCCGAUUGGCUGACGUGGCUGGAUCUUAAAAAACGACAUCGACUGAGCCCGUUUGGAAACUAAGAACAAAAGUUCGAGAAUGUUCGAGAAAGGCCCAUAUCCAGAUUUAUCGAACUUUCCAAGCAUUGAAGGUUCCAGAACUUUCCAUAUAUGGUUUGUUAACGACAGCCCAAUUAGAUUUCCCGAGAAACUACCAGAAUCGCUCUUCUACUGCCUAUAAAUAAUCAAACCCAUUGCCCCUAGUCCGAUCAUCGACGAUAAGAAGAAGUUCAGUUCUCAAUUUACUUUCUCAGCUAUCUAUCAGAUCUUGUCCAAGAAAUAAACAAAACAGAAAUGGCUCUGAUUCCAAGUUUCUUCGGUAACUCACGAAGCAGCAUUUUCGAUCCUUUCUCUGCUUUUGACGUUUGGGAUCCAUUCAAAGAUUUUCCUUUCCCUUCGUCUUCUUCAAUCGUCUCUCGUGAGAAUUCUGCUUUUAUCAACACUCGCAUAGACUGGAAAGAGACACCAGAAGCUCAUGUAUUCAAGGCUGAUCUUCCCGGGCUCAAGAAAGAGGAAGUGAAGGUGGAGAUUGAAGAUGACAGAAUUCUCCAAAUCAGCGGAGAGAGGAAUGUGGAGAAAGAAGAAAAGAAUGAUACUUGGCAUCGGGUGGAGCGUAGCAGUGGGAAGUUCAUGAGGAGAUUCAGGCUGCCGGAGAAUGCAAAGAUGGAUCAAGUAAAGGCUUCAAUGGAAAAUGGAGUUCUUACUGUGACAGUUCCAAAGGAGGAAAUCAAGAAACCUGAUGUCAAGGCUAUCCAGAUUUCUGGUUGAGCUAUUAUUUCCUGUAAACUUACAUAUAUAGCAAAGCUAGAGAUGAUGAAGAAAGAAUUAAUGAUGUUUGUUCUGUUAUUUUACUGGGUGUG